GAUGAACGCUGGCGGCGUGCUUAACACAUGCAAGUCGAACGGUGAAGGCGGAGCUUGCUCUGCUGGAUCAGUGGCGAACGGGUGAGUAACACGUGAGCAAUCUGCCCCUGACUCUGGGAUAAGCGCUGGAAACGGCGUCUAAUACUGGAUACGAGCUGCGAAGGCAUCUUCAGCAGCUGGAAAGAACUUCGGUCAGGGAUGAGCUCGCGGCCUAUCAGCUUGUUGGUUAGGUAACGGCUCACCAAGGCGUCGACGGGUAGCCGGCCUGAGAGGGUGACCGGCCACACUGGGACUGAGACACGGCCCAGACUCCUACGGGAAGCAGCAGUGGGGAAUGUUGCACAAGGGGCGUAAGCCUGAUGCAGCAACGCCGCGUGAGGGACGACGGCCUUCGGGUUGUAGACCUCUUUUAGCAGGGAAGAAGCGAAAGUGACGGUACCUGCAGAAAAAGCGCCGGCUAACUACGUG
rnacentral:rRNA from 1 species